rnacentral:misc_RNA from 1 species
CGCACCUUGCGCUCCUUGGUAUUCCGAGGAGCAUGCCUGUUUGAGUGUCGUGAAAUUCUCAACCUCCCGUACUUUCACAAGUUCGCUAGGAUUGGAUUAUGGGAGUUGCUGGUUUCUCGGAAAUCAGCUCUUCUUAAAUGCAUUAGCACAGUCUUUGCUGACCAUCUUUGGUAUGAUAAUUAUCUAUACCAUUGAGAAUCAGUUUUCCGCAAUGGAAGGAUUUUGCUUCUAAUCGUCUUUGCAGACAACUUGACAAUUUGACCUCAAAUCAGGUAGGACUACCCGCUGAACUUAA